AAGCAUAUCAAUAAGCGGAGGAAAAGAAACCAACAGGGAUUGCCUCAGUAACGGCGAGUGAAGCGGCAAAAGCUCAAAUUUUAAAGCUGGCAUCUUCGGUGUCCGCGUUGUAAUUUUGUGAGGCAUCUCCGGGUAGGGCGCCGGCCUAAGUUCCUUGGAACAGGACGUCACAGAGGGUGAGAAUCCCGUGCUUGGCUGGCUGUCCCCGUCCAUGUGAGGUGUCUUCGACGAGUCGAGUUGUUUGGGAAUGCAGCUCAAAAUGGGUGGUAAAUUUCAUCUAAAGCUAAAUAUUGGUGGGAGACCGAUAGCGCACAAGUAGAGUGAUCGAAAGAUGAAAAGCACUUUGAAAAUAGAGUUAAAAAGUACGUGAAAUUGUUGAAAGGGAAGCGCUUGAGACCAGACUUCGGUAGGGGGUGAUCAGCCGUGCUUCGGUGCGGUGCACUUGUUCCUCUCUGGGCCAGCAUCGGUUGAGGCGGCGGGAUAAAGGUCCCGGGAAUGUGGCUCCUUCACGGGAGUGUUAUAGCCCGGGUGAAUGCCGCCAGCUUCGACCGAGGACCGCGCCCGCAAGGGUUAGGAUGCUUGGCAUAAUGGUCUUCAGCGACCCGUCUUGAAACACGGACCAAGGAGUCUAACAUCUAUGCGAGUGUUUGGGUGUCAAACCCUUGCGCGAAAUAAAAGUGAACGGAGGUGGGAACCCGCAAGGGCGCACCAUCGACCGGUCCUGAAGUCUUCUGAAGGAUCUGAGUAGGAGCAUAGCUGUUGGGACCCGAAAGAUGGUGAACUAUGCCUGAAUAGGGUGAAGCCAGAGGAAACUCUGGUGGAGGCUCGCAGCGGUUCUGACGUGCAAAUCGAUCGUCAAAUUUGGGUAUAGGGGCGAAA
rnacentral:rRNA from 1 species